CUGAUUCCUGUGAAAUAAAGUACUUUAUUGCUUCAAGAAGAUACUUCAUUGAAAAGAGUUGAGAAGAGUUGUGUAGGCUUCUUGGAGAUUCUGGCUAAAGCCCUAUAGUGGUGGAGUAGCCUAGGAAAAGGGGAUUAUAGCUUUAUAUAUUUAAAAUAAUUUGUCUUUUCAUGGAGCACAAGAACAGUGCUUUAACAGCAGUCAAGAACUUUAAGUAGCAUGGACAUGUUCUCUAAUUGAAAUAUGGCAGCAGCUCAGUAGCAGUUAUACAACAGGAAAGGAUGUGCAGGCUACUGCAAGUCCCUGGAUUCAUAGGAGCUGGUUUCUGAAAGAACUGCUGAUUUUUAUCGCAGAUAAAAGCUCAGGUAGGAUGGCCUAAAAUGACCAUUGAAAACCGUAGGGUCACAGCCAAACCAGUUUCCCAUUUCUGUUGAGAGUAUAUAUGCAUCUGUACGGUUCAGAACCACCUGAACAGCAUCAGACCUGGUCAAAUAAGAAAAUACUGCCUGCUUAAAAUAAUAGCUUGGCCUGGUCCACCUAGCUCCUGCUGGGCUAUCUGGGUUACUGUGAAGCACUGUGCUGAAGACUUCCCCAACCAUGGACUGCUGGAGAGUAUGGCACACCAACACGACGCGGGGUCCAGUGCUGAGUGUAAAUCCUGUGGUUGCCAGCAUUCUAGCUUUAGUCUGUGCAGAGAUGUACCUGAGCAGUUAAUGUGGAGAAAGAUUAGUGCUGGGGCUACGUUGCUUGAAAUGGGCUCCGUGUGUGUGCUGUGCACUUCAGUACAAAACUUACGCUCUGGAUUGCCCGAAGGUCUCUGACCCAGCAAAGUGUUUCAUUGUGCGUAGCUUUCUGACCAUGCAGUUGCAGCAUUAGAAAACCUGAUGUCUGUAAGCAGCACUGGUGAUUACUAGAUGUAGUUCAGACAAAUCACACCAGGAGAGGAGAGCUAGAGUAAGAUGUGGAGAAGCUUUUCCCAAGUUUCCAUCUUUUAGGACUGUUAAGAAGAGUACCAAUUUGUUAUAAUUAAGGAAUUGUAUGUUGCCCCACACACCUAGCCAAAUACACAUUUUAUAUUUAAUUGAAGAGUAGAUCUGCAAGAAGAGAAUUGGAUGCUAAGAUGUAUCAUAAAUGAUGGAUGAAAGGUAUAAUUUCAGCUUUCCAUGUCAACAUUUUUCGACUCCUCCUGAUACGGUUGAAGGCAGCUUCACUACUAUGAACUUUCUCACAAUGCAAAUAUGAUUUACUGCCUCUGUUUUGAUAGCAGUGCAUGUUUUCCUGCUGCUCCAUAGUGAAAUGUGCAGUGAUUUCACUGUAAUUGCUCUGCUUUAGAAAAUGUCAGAUAGAAUAAUAAUUGUGUCCCCUAAGAAUUUGAUUAUUGCUGUUGUUAACCUUUCUGGAAAACAAAGGAGCAGAAGUAGAGACAGAUGCAAUCCUCAGGUGAAUUGGAGGAAGGAUGUUGUGCAGCCAAGUGGGUACAUCUCGCAUGGGAUGAAGGACAGUGCAUGCUUUGCUAGUUCAUAUUAGUGAGGUCUGUUAAUCUUCCUGUAAAUCCCUGCCCACGAGAGCUCCUUUCAUCACCGGAGUAAAUUGUGACCAGUGUAACUACUGUCCCAAUGCUACCUCCUGGAAACAAGUGGAUGAAGAAGGGAAAGGGAAAUUUUAGUAGCUACUCCAGCCCAGUGAAAAUGAAUGAGUUUGGUUACUCUUCACUGAGAACCAAAGGAAUCAAGAAAGCCCUGAGAAGCUUGGUUUGUUGUCCAUAGGCACCUGGGAUGGAGUACCUGUUCCCUCUUGAGAACAGAUUGAAAGUGACAGUUCAGUCCCAGACAAAUACAGUUUACAUCUGAAUCAUUUUAUGUGAAAACUUCUAAUCAUGCUUGUCUUUCUAACUCUCAUCCUUGAAGAGGUUGUGGGUUAACUUUGCUGGGAAUACAGCAGCAUGCGACGUGCUUGGCCGUGGAAACAGGUAUGUGUGGGAUCUCUCAAGUUUCCAGCAGCGCUUUUGAGUAUUAUUGUUCUCCAAAAUGGCUAGCAUUGCUGGCAUUCAUUCUGAGUGAAGUUACAGCCUCCUUUACAUAGGUUUUAUGCUAUCUGGACUACCCCAACCUUUUGCUUUAGUCUAUUCUCCAUUAUCCAAAGGUAAAUUUAGGCACAAAUCAUGACACGAGAGCCUUGCUUUGGAAUAUGCCUGCUUCCUGUAAGUCAUUUAUACUCUCUGGUAUGGGUGGAUCUGCCUAUUACGGUGCAAUCGGUUUGGUGGAUUUUCAUUCCUCCCCAAGCAACCACACAGCUGAAUUUUCUGCAUACUGUGCUUAUGCUUUAUGUGCACAGCCUGUAGGUAUUCUGCACCUCUGAGGCACGAUGGGAUGGCUACCCCAGUCUUCCCUGAAUUUACUGCUCGGCAGUCAGGCAGUGACACAGCUGUCAAUGCACAGCAUUAUUUUGCUCAUGUCCAUCACCCAUGAAUGGAGUUUGGUUUUGUCACCAUUUUGUUUCUUUAUAAUGCAUAAGUAUUAAGGUAGGCUUUGUGCCAACACACAGGUUUUCCAAACUUUUUAAACUUCUUUCUCUCCUUUUCUGUGAUAGCUUGGCUCCCUAUCUCCUUUACGCAGUACAUUUGUUCAGCUGUGUGGAGCUGGUGGUACUGGUAGCUGCAGGGUUCCACCUGUUGCAUCCCAUCAUUAUAGGGAAUUAAAAAAGAAAGCUUGUAGGAAGGAGGCCUCCUUUCCCUCUCAUCUUUUGGGAUGUCCUGCCCAGCUUCAGAGCUGGAGCAGAUGGUUCUGAUCACCCUAGUGAACGGGCAGUCUCAGCUCCUGCCCUCCAUCCUCCCCAGCACCAGGUGGUGGGACAGCAGCACCUAGGGCUGCGCACUGUGUCACACUGGCUCUGCUCCCUACAGUGGGGAAGGUGUGGGGAUGGUGGGCUCCUGAGCUGCCAUCCUCUCCCCUUGGGCAGGCAUGGGCGCUUCUGUCCCCAUGCCUUCUGUGUCUCCCUUCCAGAAGCUCAUGCCCUUCCAAUUUGGGAACAACUGCUCUAAUAAAUAUGGGCCUUUAGCACA
ensembl:lncRNA